rnacentral:misc_RNA from 1 species
GGGGCCAUUAGGACCUAAAACUCUCUGUAAUGCUUGCGGCGUUCGCUACAAAUCCGGCCGCCUUUACCCGGAGUACCGACCGGCAGCAAGUCCGACUUUUGUCCCCUGUUUACACUCCAAUUCGCACAAGAAAGUUCUCGAAAUGAGAAUCAAACAAGUGGAAAGAGGGGCGGAGUCUACGAUGGAGGAGUCGCCACCAGAACUCAUUCCGAAUACAAACAGCGGCAUCAUCCUCGGGUACGUUUGACCGGAAAAUUCGCUCCUCGCCGCCAUCCCCGCCGCCGCCGCCGCCCUCUCCAUUCCUUAAAUUUCUUUUCUC